UCCUGAGCUGGUCGGUCAUCCUCCCUGCCGCUUGGGUAGUGAACGACGAGAAUCAAAAAGACGGCUAAGCAUGUAGGUCCUGGAAUGUAGGGCUUGCGGACGCGGGUUCGAUUCCCGCCGCCUCCACCA
rnacentral:tmRNA from 1 species